AUGAAUCUUCAGUCUCUCUACACUCUUUCUUCUCUCCGUUUCUAUACUGUUCUGUUUCAAUUACUGUUGCAUCUUCGUUGUUGUGGAAGCUGGGAAUCAAACGAGAUAAUCCUCAAUUUUGGUGCGUUGCGUAGCUUGAUGCGGAAGAGGCCUGAAGACAGUGAGGGUUGCAGAUUCAUCGACGAAGAUCUUUGA